ACAGAGGUGGCGAGCGUUGUUCGGAUUUACUGGGCGUAAAGGGCGCGUAGGCGGCCUUGCGUGUCGGGUGUGAAAUCUCCGGGCCCAACCCGGAAAGUGCGCCCGAAACUGCAAGGCUGGAGUGCGGGAGGGGAGAUCGGAAUGCAGGGUGUAGCGGUGAAAUGCGUUGAUAUCCUGCAGAACACCGGUGGCGAAGGCGGAUCUCUGGAACGCAACUGACGCUGAGGCGCGAAAGUCGGGGGAGCAAACAG
rnacentral:rRNA from 1 species